GAUGAAGAACGUAGCAAAAUGCGAUAAGUAGUGUGAAUUGCAGAAUUCAGUGAAUCAUCGAAUCUUUGAACGCACAUUGCGCCCGCCAGUAUUCUGGCGGGCAUGCCUGUCUGAGCGUCAUUUCAACCCUCAUGCCCCUAGGGCGUGGUGUUGGGGAUCGGCCAAAGCCCGCGAGGGACGGCCGGCCCCUAAAUCUAGUGGCGGACCCGUCGUGGCCUCCUCUGCGAAGUAGUGAUAUUCCGCAUCGGAGAGCGACGAGCCCCUGCCGUUAAACCCCCAACUUUCCAAGGUUGACCUCAGAUCAGGUAGGAAUACCCGCUGAACUUAAGCAUAUCAAUAAGCGGAGGA
rnacentral:misc_RNA from 1 species